rnacentral:lncRNA from 1 species
CUGCAGUUGUAGACUGUUAACUCUGUACCCAUAGCCAUUGCAGACCAUUUUUGUGACUACAAUCCAGCUAAUUUAUCCAUUCUGCAUUGGUGAGCUUUUGAGUAGUUUCCAAUUUGAAGUCUAAAAGAAGUCUCCAUGUUUUAGUGAGUCUAUCUAUGCAUUCCUUUUGGGUAUAUAAUCUAGAAAUAGAAUUACUAGGUCAUAAGAGCGUUUAAUUUUAAAAUAAAAACUCUUUUAGGUGGAAGGACAUGGUGGUUUGGGUUCUAGGCUACCCCAUUUACUAUAUUACCUUUAGAGCUAAGACCAAGAAAUAGGGAAGGAUAAUUUUGAUGCAUGGGGCACCAACCUGAAGGUGCUUGGCAUAGAGAAGUCAGGAGGGAGGAGAUAGAUGUGUAUGUGUGUCCAGAAAACCAGUGGAGCCCAGCAGAGGUGCUGGCUCAGCCCUGGCUUAGCUCCACACAAUGCCCUGACUCCCACACCCACCACUGGGGGCCACUGCCCUCUGGGAUGCUCCUGAGCUGAUCCCUCAAUGCUGAUCUGGGUCUGGAAGUUCCCCUCCAGAGCUAGGGCUCUUGGCAGAGCACAUGGUACCAAAAAUAAAAGUUGGAGCCAGCUAGAUGACGUAAGCCUCUGCCAUACAGAACUCUGGAGUCAUGCUGGAAGCACCCAGAAGAGAUUCUCUGGUGCCUCCAUGGCAUCCUCUGCCCUGCUUCAUCUUGUUUCCAGCCAAGUCGUUUGUCCGACAGUCCCUGUCUGGGGGGCUUCCACCUCGAACAGAGAAUCCCUCCUGAUUUCCUUUCUGGGGCCAGUGAAAGACGACAAGUAGGAGGCGGGUAGCCAAGUGAUAACACCUUUGUAAUUCAGCAGGUCUUUGGUGGGCACCUCCAGAAAGCUGCCUCAGGCCACCCAGGGUGAUGUGACUUCACUAUGACACCCCUUCAUAAACCCAGCCCAGAAACCUGGUUAAGUCCUGCCCCUGCUCACUUCCAAUCCUGGGUUUUCUCCCUCCUGGUUCUGAAGGUCUCCUGGAGGCCUUCUGAAAUGAGCAAGACCCAGUUGGUUUCUGGCAGGAAGAGAGCGCCAGGCCACACUUCCAUGUGGAAGAAAUUAUGCACCCGCCUCCUUUUCUAAAACCUCCUUCCAUCUGCCAUCUCCCCUUCCUGUUUCCUGAGCACUUGGUGUUCUCUUGCUGCCUCAGGGAGGGGAUUCUGCUUUGUGCUUUGCCUCAUCCCUCCUCCAUUUCUUCCUCCUCUCCACCACCACUAGGAAGAAGAAGCAGCAAUCGCUACUCCACUUUCCCCUCCCUCUCAUCUUCCUGUCUCAACAAAGGAUUCUUCCACUUCAAUUUAUAAAUUUUUUUUUUCAGUACUGGUGAUUGAAUCCAGGAUCUUGCACAAGCUAGGCAAGUGUGCUACCUCUGAGCUACAUCCCCAGCCCCCCACCUGUUUGUUUUUUGUUUAAACUUUGAGAUAGGGUUUUAUUAAGUUGUCC